UCCCAAGGUCCCUUCCUUGUCCUGCCCCUCAGAGUUCCCUCCUAGUGUCACCCCAGUUAGUCCUGGGUGGGGCCCCUCCCAGCUCUUCACCUGCCAGCCUUUACCCCCUGGUCCCUGCACCAGCAAGUGUUCAUUCAUCUACUUCCAGACACUAUCCCCUUCCCACAAAAAAAAAGAGCCACUAGCAAAACCAUUAGUGUGACUAUCACCAUAA
rnacentral:lncRNA from 1 species